CAGCUUUAUAAACAGAGGCGUUUUCUGUUGCGGAGCCUGUACAACAACAGGCAGUUUAUCUGGAGAUAACUUGGUCCCUGAGAAGGCUGAAAUCACCUGUCCCAGCCAGAUCCUGACAGAGCUGGACCUGGGGUAGAACAAACGGGGAGAUUCCAGAGUGCAGCUGCUGUGUGAGAGACUGAAAUAUCCAACCUGCAAACUACAGAAACUUGGGUUGGACUAUCGCUGUGUAAACAAUGAAACCCGGCCAGAGCUGGAUGCUGUGAAAAACAUAAAACCUGAUCUGGGCAUAGAGAUUUGAUGCAGCUGGUGGGUGCCAACCCCUGCACCAACAUGGCUGUGGCCUGGCUGCCCUGCCGCUAGCCAGGACAGCAGCUGUGGGAUGGGCAACACCUGCCCCUUCUAAGAUCAACCGCACCAUUACCAAGGACUUUGUCAACAUAUCUGAGCAUCUGUGGUAGAGGGGCUGGGUAGAGAUUGUCAGGGCCAACCCUCCUGCCUCAGGGUGAGAGACUCAGGACUAGGAGCUGGGUUUGCUCCACUACUGGGCUGACCUUGGAGGUGGUAACUGGUUUGUGGGGGGAAUGAGCAGGAGAGAAGAAGGGGGUCAGGACCCAAUGGAGGGAGAGACGUGAGAGCAUGAGAUAGAGGGGUCUGUAACCUCCCUUCUCAGUCCCUGUCAGUGCAGGGGGGAGACUCAAGAACCAUCCUUGGAGCCACUGGGGAAUUUCAUUCACUAUUAUUUGUAUAUUUACAAGGGGCUUUAUAAUUUUACACAGUUCCAAAGCUAUUAAAGUGGCAUUUUCUGCAUUCAUCUCCAACAUUUUUUU